AUGGACUUAUUUCAUGUUUGUAUUUAUUUUGUUUUUGGAAGAAAAUAUUCCUUUUGUCUUUCUCCAUUGCAGAGGCUUAAAAUUGUCUUGGGCUCAGCCCUGCUACACUCUCUCAAGUACUCACAUCCGGAGCAUAUCACCCAUUUCACCACAAAGCCAACACUUCUUCAGAAAGGCCCUCCUGUUAUUGACUUAGACAAAAAUGACACAGCUCCUCUUUUGGCGAACUCCAAAGGAACAGCUUGGCCUACCAUGUGCAUUAAAGAUGCUGCUGCUGCUCCAGGUCUCUAGUAUCGAUCACUGAAGCUCCACAUCAAGGAUGCUGCUGCGUGUACCAAGGGCACCCUAUUGCAUCCCUGACGAGGUAUUUGUGCAGUUCCCUAUUGUUGCCACAGUGAUUGGUCCCAUAUUCCAUUGCUGUAGAAAUUAGAAUGAUUAUAGUGAAUGACUAGCAUUUGCAGUUUGGUUUUGACCCUUUUAGGUUUUACUUUGUCUUUUAUUGCAAUCUUGUCUGGCCAAAAAAAAAAAAAGUGGGUAAGAAGCAUCAUGCUAUGCUCAGACCCCCACCCCCCGACCCCCAAUAAUUGCACUAUCUCCAGACUGAUGCCAUGUUAGAAUGUAAAGACCAAUGGCUUAAAUGUAAUUUGCUCAUUUAAAAACUAAUGAAGCAGAUGUGAAGUUAUAAAACCUGGAAAUUUACCCUUUAGUUCUAAACACAAAUUGAUAAAGUAUCAUUUUCCCCAAUUAUUUUUCUCUGUGUACCUCCUCUUCAUUUAGAAUAUAGGAUAAGAGUCAAAGCAUUUACCUUCCUCGAGGCUCAUCUGUGCUUAACAUAGAGCUCUGAAAAUAGGGACUAUGUUAUGUACGGUGAUGAUGAAAUUAAUUAUUAGAUGAGAAACUUACUUGAAAAACAUUAGUAUGAACAAAGCAUUUUUACACAUUCAGUACUUUUGUCUAUUAGUUUGACAUAACCAUGGCUAAGUUAAGGAACUUUUUCUCCAGUGGUUGAAACAUAGAGAAAAAAUAAAGGGAAGUCAAAUACCA
rnacentral:lncRNA from 1 species